UGGGGAAUAUUGCACAAUGGGCGAAAGCCUGAUGCAGCAACGCCGCGUGAGUGAUGAAGGUCUUCGGAUUGUAAAGCUCUGUCUUUUGGGACGAUAAUGACGGUACCAAAGGAGGAAGCCACGGCUAACUACGUGCCAGCAGCCGCGGUAAUACGUAGGUGGCGAGCGUUGUCCGGAUUUACUGGGCGUAAAGGGUGCGUAGGCGGAUGUUUAAGCGAGAUGUGAAAUACCCGGGCUUAACUUGGGUGCUGCAUUUCAAACUGGAUAUCUAGAGUGCAGGAGAGGAGAAUGGAAUUCCUAGUGUAGCGGUGAAAUGCGUAGAGAUUAGGAAGAACACCAGUGGCGAAGGCGAUUCUCUGGACUGUAACUGACGCUGAGGCACGAAAGCGUGGGUAGCAAACAGGAUUAGAUACCCUGGUAGUCCA
rnacentral:rRNA from 1 species